GGGAAAUGAUGAGUGGUCAAAGCUCGCAUACAAAAAUGCGAGAUGGGUGUCUGCUCCGCCUGUUUUACGACAAUUAGGCGCUCUCAUCUAAACCAAUCUGAUCCC